UUUUAGGGCCUCUGAAGACCAGAAUCCAGUCUUGCUGGGACAUCUGCAUCACAUGUGGGCGUUGAUUCUGAACACUGAACACCGUGUGGUACACAGAAUAAUGACCCCCCAAGAUGUCCGCGUCUUAAUCCCUGGACCUAUCAAUACUUUGCAGGUGUGAUUAAGACAGGAUCGUAUGUGUCCAUACUACCUGAAACUGCUACAGCUGUUGUUCAGCCAUGAAGGGGGUCAGCCCAGGGCAAAGCCGACUCACAGAGGAUGAGAGGGAAAAGAUGGAAAACCCUGGUCCUGAUGACAUCAUUGAGGCAAAUGGCUGUACUAUGCCUGGAGCGUACUCAAACUCUGGACAUCCUAUAAUGUGAAGUAAUAAAUUCCUUA